rnacentral:lncRNA from 1 species
CUCGACAGCUCCGCCUUCCCACCAGCAGAGAGGGCGGGAAGCCGGGUGGGGCCCGGCGGGCUAUUGGCCGCGGCCGCUGCUCGCUCGCUUGGCCCUGGCGCUGACACCGCGCCGUUAGGGAGGAACAGCUGCUGCUCCGCCAGCGCCCACCGCGGGAGAAGCGAGCUGGGGCUCCGAGGAGCAGCAAGCUGUCUGGGCUGGGUUGGGGCGGAGUGGGAGGGGGGGCUGCGGGUGCAGAGGCGCUAUGGGGCCCUGACCAAGCCAGCCGAGCAACCCUUCCCCACGUGUACGCCGCGGGCAGCCCUCGCCUCUCUGGUUGCUCCUCGGUGGCGAGAGGAAGGAGGCGAGCGGCCACAACCCCGAAGGCGUCCCCUGGGCUCAGUGUUCCUGCGAUUCUCUGUGUGAGAAGCCAAAUAUUAGUCGAAUUACCCCUUCAUCUCUGCCUCUCUGUGCCAGGAAAAACACUAACUGUUAUCUGAAGUGUUCUUUGUGAGUUCAGAACAAGGACACUAAUACUUAUUGAAAAUACUGUUCUAAUUUUGGUUGGCAGAGUGAGGGAAACUUACUGUGUUUUAUUAUUUUUAGUUGGAAGUGAAAGGAGAGAAUGUUUGGAGCCGAAGAAUGGAAGUUUGAUGAAAAGGAUGUCAUGAAGGCUAGUCUGGCAAACUUGGAUAACUAACUUUUCUUGGAUACUAACUUGGGUAGAGGGGAGCUUUAGAAGAGUCCAUACUACUAUGAGAGUACAGUAGCUGUGUUAGAAGCAGGUUUGUUAGUAAUACCUGUACUGCUUUGCAAAAGGAAAAUUCUGUUUCAGCAAUGGAGCACGUCAAAGUGUUAGUAUUUUGCUCAGGUUAUGAGAAUAGAAUAUGAAGUUGCUGAUUCUACUUUUCUCAAAAAUAUGGUUUGGACAUAUAUUCUGAGGCUUUUGCUUUCUUGCACAGAAUUUUUAUUUUUUAAUUAAAAAAUAGACAACUGUACAAUUAUAUCUGUUUUAAUGGAGUCAUAUCUUCAGUGCAUUAUGGAGCACAUGACUAGAAUUAUGAUAGUCAAGCCACAACCAUUUUUAGAAAGAGCAUGGGAAACAAGUCUGAUCAUAUAUGAGACUUGUUACAAGAGGAUUGAACUGAUGGUGCACUUGUCUACAACGUUGCCUCUGUUUAUGUAAUACGAAGAGAAGAUCGUGUUUAUACUUAUCUUAUAAUCACUUCACAUAAAAGUGAAGUCAACAGUUUAACAUUAUGUACUGCAUGACUACUAGUACAAGGCAUUAGGUGUUGAAAAUCAGUUAAUUAUGACUUUUAUAUAACUUUGUGUGCUACUCUUCUUACCAUAAUCAAUAAGAAACAAAUGCCAACCUUCCUUGUCUACCAGUACUGCUGAAGAAGUACUGUGGUCAAAACAAAUAUGUACUGUAUUACGGCAGGCAGAGUUAGGUGGAUCCAGGAACUCUGGGCAUCCAUUGGCCCAGCUGGAAAAAAAAAGCUGACGUCUAUGAGUGCCUACCUUUAUUAAAGUUGAUAUUUUAAUGCUUUUUCAAAAGCUUUUACGCUAGCAGUAGUCUUGCAGUAUUCUGUUCUGUAGUAUUUUAUUGGACUUUUGGUUGUUGUGGGUUUUUCGGGCUCUUUGGCCGUGUUCUAAUCCUGGACGGGAUUAUGGGAGAGAGUGAGAGUGCCUAGGAGGAGGCAGAUUACAGAAGGAGAAAAGAGAUCCCCCCUAGACCCUCUUAUUGGGAGAAGCUGAUGCUAGAGAGUGGAGGAGGAGAUUGAGAGAAGAGAAGGAGAGAGUGGAAAGGAGAGAAAGGCUGGAAUGGAGAAUAGGAGAGAUAAGGAAGAAGAGUUACAGAUAUAACUUUAUUAAGAUGUAAAGGACCCUGGGAGGAUUGAGGCCUCAAGAGACGAGCCCUGUAGAAUGGCGAUCAGGAUGACGAGAUCGUGCCCUUGCUGGAAGGUUCAACGGGGCAGACCGUGAGAGACUGGGUCCCCACCAACUUACCAGGACCAUGGGAUAAUAGUUAUGGUAACCCGUUCCUGUUUGACUAUUGGAAGCCCCUUCCGGACUGUUGGGAGAAGGAGAAAAGACUCACGUUACAGACACUUGUUUAUUGUUUAAUGCACCAAUAAAUCUUUCACCUGUUUUGAAGCA